GAUGAACGCUGGCGGCGUGCCUAAUACAUGCAAGUCGAGCGAACGGACGAGAAGCUUGCUUCUCUGAUGUUAGCGGCGGACGGGUGAGUAACACGUGGAUAACCUACCUAUAAGACUGGGAUAACUUCGGGAAACCGGAGCUAAUACCGGAUGAUAUUUUGAACCGCAUGGUUCAAAAGUGAAAGACGGUCUUGCUGUCACUUAUAGACGGAUCCGCGCUGCAUUAGCUAGUUGGUAAGGUAACGGCUUACCAAGGCAACGAUGCAUAGCCGACCUGAGAGGGUGAUCGGCCGCACUGGAACUGAGACACGGUCCAGACUCCUACGGGAGGCAGCAGUAGGGAAUCUUCCGCAAUGGGCGAAAGCCUGACGGAGCAACGCCGCGUGAGUCAUGAAGGUCUUCGGAUCGUAAAACUCUGUUAUUAGGGAAGAACAUAUGUGUAAGUAACUGUGCACAUCUUGACGGUACCUAAUCAGAAAGCCACGGCUAACUACGUG
rnacentral:rRNA from 1 species